UGUUCUUCUGAUUUAAAAAGAUGUUUUAUAUUUAGUUGUGUAAGAAAGAGAUUUUAUAUUAAUGAGAGUUUCGAUUAAAAGAAUCAGUCAGAAUAUUAAAAGUUAUGGGAUAUUCUGGUAUUGAUGAUACUACACGAACGUGAAAUAUUUCACCUAAAAUUCAUUUAAACAAAAGAUGACUGUGAAAAUGAUAUUAUCUAAGAGAGAGAAGAAAUAAGAUAGGAAAAGUUAAAAGAACCGGAAUGAUAUAUGUGUGUAUGUGUGUGAGUGUACAUUAUAUCGACCAUACUUGCCUAUUAGGAAAUAGUAUACAAAUCUAAAAGUUAGUAAUAACAAAAGAAUGGAAGAAAUUUGUAAUCAUCUUAGAGAAAAACAAUAAAUACAACCAAAAAAAAAUAUGUACAGAAACAGAAACGAUAUCAUUCCUGUAGCUAUUGUUAUAUAUUGUUGGCAUUUUAUAACCAAACUGUAAUUAUAAUCAAACAUUAAAAAAUAGUUGAUCAUAAUUUAUUUUUGUACAUAAGGCCAAAAUUCAGCAAGAGGUCUUUAAUACGUAGUACUAUUUGUUUACCAAAUUAAUAUGUAUGCAUGCGAAACAACUUAAUGUAACGAAGCUCUUGUACAAGUGAUUUAUAUAUCACAGAGGCUAUCAGAACC
rnacentral:lncRNA from 1 species